GCGGGUAUGGCGGAACUGGUAGACGCGCUGGAUUUAGGUUCCAGUGGGCUUAGCCCGUGGGGGUUCGACUCCCUCUACCCGCACCA
rnacentral:tRNA from 1 species